GAUGAACGCUGGCGGCGUGCCUAAUACAUGCAAGUCGAGCGAACGGACGAGAAGCUUGCUUCUCUGAUGUUAGCGGCGGACGGGUGAGUAACACGUGGAUAACCUACCUAUAAGACUGGGAUAACUUCGGGAAACCGGAGCUAAUACCGGAUGAUAUUUUGAACCGCAUGGUUCAAAAGUGAAAGACGGUCUUGCUGUCACUUAUAGAUGGAUCCGCGCUGCAUUAGCUAGUUGGUAAGGUAACGGCUUACCAAGGCAACGAUGCAUAGCCGACCUGAGAGGGUGAUCGGCCACACUGGAACUGAGACACGGUCCAGACUCCUACGGGAGGCAGCAGUAGGGAAUCUUCCGCAAUGGGCGAAAGCCUGACGGAGCAACGCUGCGAGAGUGAUGAAGGUCUUCGGAUCGUAAAACUCUGUUAUUAGGGAAGAACAUAUGUGUAAGUAACUGUGCACAUCUUGACGGUACCUAAUCAGAAAGCCACGGCUAACUACGUG
rnacentral:rRNA from 1 species